UACAGAGGUCCCAAGCGUUGUUCGGAUUCACUGGGCGUAAAGGGUGCGUAGGUGGUGAGGUAAGCCUGAUGUGAAAUCUCCGAGCUCAACUCGGAAAUGGCAUUGGAAACUACUUGGCUAGAGGAGUGGAGGGGGGACUGGAAUUCUCGGUGUAGCAGUGAAAUGCGUAGAGAUCGAGAGGAACACCAGUGGCGAAGGCGAGUCCCUGGACACUUCCUGACGCUGAGGCACGAAAGCUAGGGGAGCAAACAGG
rnacentral:rRNA from 1 species